AUGGAAUGGGACGAUAUUCUCAGAGAUUUUGUGUAUCUCUGGGCCGUCAUUGAUCCAAUUGGUUCGAUUCCGGUAUUCAUUGC
rnacentral:tRNA from 1 species